CCACGCCCUCAUCCUUGCCAAAGAUGGUGAAGACAGCCCCAAGCUUCAUCUUCUUCAAGCUUAAGCCAUGGAGGAGUCCCCAUCUCGAUCUCCUUCCUUGCUGUGUUCCUGGCUGAACUACUCCUACUGGAGCAUCCCAAGACCGUGGUGAGCACAUCCCAAAAGCCCAUCUCCAUCUUCCCCAUCUCCCCCUCCCUUUACUGCAGAAAGCAGCAACCCUGCUCCAGUGUCCAAUGGUCUUCCAUGAAGAUUGGUCUUCCCCACCUCUUCCUGCUUCCCUAGGGUUUGUGGGUGACCAUGGUGAGUUGGAUUUCGCCCUUCACUGAAUGAGUUUAGUGUUUAGGUAGAGUUUGGCCAUGGGAAUAAGUGGAUUAGUGAGGGAGAAAAGUUGUUGGAAUGUUGUUCCUCGGAUUUCAGACUGACAGUUUCUGCAGAUUUUCUUGGGGAAGAAAUCAAGGCAACUUAGAAGAUGAAAUAGGUGUUUUCGUCAACUACAAAGUUGUAGAGGACCUUCAGAUCUACUAGCUCGUGAAAUAUCAUGAUUUUAUCCCAUCAGGUCUUGUCUAUGCUUUGGACAGAGAUGUCUUCAUGGGGUUAAUUGACCUUGUUAACUAUGAAAUCAUCUUAAGAUGAUAAUAAUAAAGUUGUAGGUACGCUAGAUGAACCACGUGAAGGGCAUGACGGUGGACCUAU